rnacentral:rRNA from 1 species
GAUGAACGCUGGCGGCGUGCCUAAUACAUGCAAGUCGAACGCAGUGGGGACGGGUGAGUAACACGUGGGUAACCUCCCCUCUGAGGGGAUAACACUUGGAAACAGGUGCUAAACCGAUAGUGUGGGAUGGAUUCGCGGUGCAUUGGCUAGUUGGGGAGGUAACGGAUCACCAAGGCCAGGAUGCAUAGCGUAGCUGAGAGGGGGAUCAGCCACACUGGGACUGAGACACGGCCCAGACUCCUACGGGAGGCAACAGUGGGGAAUCGUCGGCAAUGGACGAAAGGCUGACCUAGCAACGCCGCGUGGCUUAAGAAGGUUUUCGGAUCGGAAAACUCUGUUGUUAGAGAAGCGGUAUCUAACCAGAAAGCCACGGCUAACUACGUGCCAGCAGCCGCGGUAAUAC